UACGGAGGAUGCGAGCGUUAUCCGGAUUUAUUGGGUUUUAAGGGGUGCGUAGGCGGAUCGUUAAGUCAGUGGUCAAAUUGAGGGGCUCAACCCCUUCCCGCCAUUGAAACUGGCGAUCUUGAGUGGAAGAGAAGUAUGCGGAAUGCGUGGUGUAGCGGUGAAAUGCAUAGAUAUCACGCAGAACCCCGAUUGCGAAGGCAGCAUGCCGGCUUCCUACUGACGCUGAAGCACGAAAGCGUGGGGAUCGAACAGG
rnacentral:rRNA from 1 species